AAGAUAACACCAUGCCUCAGUCACUAUCCAGUACAAGUAGCAGAAAUGGUGUCAAAGACACAUCAACCCUUAGUCAUAGUGCUGUGAUUCCGCUCACAGAGGCUGAUAAACCUGGAACCUCCAAAGAAGGUGACAAUGCAAAUACCAGCAGACCAGUCAGUAAAC